GGAGGACCGCGCGUGGCUGAGGCAACCCGCAGGUGCAGGGAAGCUGCGGACACAGCAAACGCACGCUGGAAUGCGAGCUCAGCCAACAAAGUUGCACAGAGGAGGGGAUCGCCUUUUCCUACUUUCUUUCAAGCUAACUGGUGAAAUAGUGGAGGAGGGAGUGCCAUUACCCUAUUUUACAGAGGAAGUCGGACCUGCCCAAGGUCCAUUGCUAGACCAGAUCCUACCCUUGCAGACACUCCUGCUCAUGGUAAAGUCACCUUCUCCUGCGGCUUCCGCUCCUUCCGCUCCUGUACGGUGGUCAGGUAGUUGACGGCCGCGUACUCCAGCACCGAGAGGAACACGAACACAAAGCUGACCCAGAGGUAGAUGUCCACGGCCUUGAUGUAGGACACGCGGGGCAUGGAGGCGUUCACGCCCGUGAUGAUGGUGGACAUGGUCAGCACCGUGGUGAUCCCUGCAGACACAGAGAGAAAGGAGCAGGGGUUUGUCUUUCUCCAAACCCACUGGAUGGUUCCGUGCCUCUUCUUUCUCCCAGCUACUCCUCUGGCCUAGAACGUCUCCCUCCCUGGCCCUCCAGCUGCUCACGUUUCCAGUUUUAGCUUUUAUAAAGUUUCUCCUAUUCCUCUGCUCCCAGCUGUAUCCCUGAAUCUUUUUUUUUUUUUUUUUUUUUGGCUCUGCUCAGUGGCAUAUCUUAGUUCCCAGACUAGGGAUUGAACCUGUGCGCCCUGCGGUGAAAGCAUGGAGUCUUAAUGCAGUCAAAGUAUGGCGUCUUAAGCGCCGGACCGCCAGGGAGUUCCCCCUCCUUGUGUCUUCAUCAUGGCACUUUUAUCACUUUGUUUUUCUGCAGAGAGCCCCUGACAGGUUAGCAGUAAGACAAUUCUUUACAUUCAGUUGUUUAAAACAAAGAUUGCAGGGUAGUUCCCUGGUGGUCUAGUGGUUAGGAUUCAAUGCCUGAUUGGGAAAUUGAGAUUUCACAAGCCUUGCAAAAUAGUCAAAAAAUAAAUUAAUUAACUUUAUUUAUAAAAUAAAUAUUUAUAAACAAAAUAAGAAGAAGACUGUAUAUAUGAGCAGGUAUGUAUGUUUCUUGGAACUCCUUCUCCAAAAGAGGGGGGGAAAGUACACAAGUUGCAUUUUAAUCUUUGCGUCCUUGUUGCUGGUGUAGAAUCCUGUAGUCCUUGGCCUGUGUUGUCGGCUGCCAGGGCCUGCUGAGUCCUGGACCUGGCUGCCCACACUGCAGUGUUGACUUGAGGACCCUGUCAAUUUUACCAAGAAUGAUGUUAACCUCAUUUACGGGAGACAGAUUUCUGAAACUAGAAUAUUUAUUCAUUCAGCACAGUAACUGUUCAAGCUACAGAACAACCGUUAAAGGCCAGGGCAUCUGUCAGUGGGAAUGUCCCUGAGAUUUCAAAUUAAGCUCAGAACAUUUGCUUGGCAAACACCAAAUCACAGCGGAUUGGGGUCAUCUUAAGAGCCAGCACCAAUCCAGUUUCACUAAAACCUGGUGAGUCAUUCUCUCCCUUGAAGCCCCAGGACCUCUGAGCCACGGUGGUGCGUGUGGAAUGGGUGCAAUAUUUAAAUCAGGGAAGAGAGUGGAUGGCAAACAGCUAUGGAUAGUACACUAGGGGUUCUCAGACUUGAGUAUGUAUAAGAAUUACUAGGGGAGGGACUUCUCUGGAAGUCCAGUGGUUGAGACUUCACCUUCCAAUGCAGGGGUGCAGGUUCGAGUUCUGGUCAGGGAACUAAGAUCCCACAUGCCUCUCAGCCAAAAAACCAAAACAUAAAACAGAAGCAGUGUUAUAAAAAAUUAAAUAAAGACUUUAAAAAUGAUCCACAUCGAAGGAAAAAAAAAAAGGUUUACUGGGGGAGCUUGUUCAAAAUGCAAAUUCCUGGAACUCUCUCAGAGAUUCUGAUCCUAUACAUGUAGAUAGACCCCAGGAUUCUUCAUUUUAAACAAUUUCCCCCACAGAAUCUAUCACAAAGAUCCCUUGGGCCACCUUUUGAAAAGCCCUGUUACAGAAUGUGACUUUCUUAUCCAGGUGAGCAGAGAAAGCACUGCAGAUCAGGACAACCCACUCUAGGACUCAGCUCUAAUAAGAUUAAAGAUGAACUGUUUGUGUGGACUCCCA